UGAACAGCUCUACUGAUGAGUUGCUAUUCAUACCAUGUGAUUGGUUUGUCUCCUAAUAGGAUGGCCUACGUGGAUUUAUAAACUCAGGCCACCUUUCUAGCCCCUGUUAAACAAGAUGCUUAUGCAGAUGCUUAAUCCGCAGCGCAUGAGGAAUAUCCCAUUGAUUUCAAUGUUGAACUGGUACCUCUGUUUGUGAAGUAGUUCUCCAUGAACAGAUGAGUUAUUUGCUUCCUGGUUUGGGCCCUGAAUCAGCAAAAUGCUUUAGCACAUGAACAUCGAAGGCACUGAAGCACACAUUUACAGGCCCAGGAUUUCACCCAUGCAGCCUGUUGUCUUUCUGCUCAUCCAGCAGCGUGAGCUGUGCCUACUCCGCCCAACACUCCUCAGCAGGUGGCUUGCUGAAAUCACCAGCUUGGAAUAUUUGUGCAUUUCUCCUCUGUUGCUGUUUCACUGUUUCAACAGUUCUGUGGAGCAGGUUUAUUGUGGGCAUCCUGACGGGUGCUGCCCUCCUCAGAUUAACCCCACAAAUGCCAAAUGUGUCAGGUUACCCCAAGCCAGCUUCAUCCUUAUGUUCUUUCUGGCUGGGG